rnacentral:rRNA from 1 species
UACGUAGGUGGCAAGCGUUGUCCGGAUUUAUUGGGUUUAAAGGGUGCGUAGGCGGCUUUGUAAGUCAGUGGUGAAAUAUGGCAGCUCAACUGUCAGGGUGCCAUUGAUACUGCAGAGCUUGAGUACAGAUGAGGUAGGCGGAAUUGACGGUGUAGCGGUGAAAUGCUUAGAUAUCGUCAAGAACACCGAUAGCGAAGGCAGCUUACUGGGCUGUAACUGACGCUGAGGCACGAAAAGUGUGGGGAGUCAAAACAGG